CUCGUGAAAGCAAGGACACAAACUAANAUUAGAUACCUUACUAUGCCCAGCUGUAACAAAACAAUCAAAUAACUAAUUGUUCGCCAAAUAACUACGAGUAAAAACUUAAAAUUUAAAAGACUUGACGGUACUUCACAUCAACCUAGAGGAGCCUGUCUAAUAACCGAUAACCCACGAUUAACCCAACCCACUCUAGCCCAACAGUCUAUAUACCGCCCUCGCCAGUUUACCUUGUGAAAGAAACAAAGUAAGCCUAACAACACUACAUUAAUACGACAGGUCGAGGUGUAACUAAUGAGCGGGCAAUGAUGGGCUACAUUUUCUAACCUAGAAAAUACGAAUAGACUAUGAAACUAGAAACUGAAGGCGGAUUUAGUAGUAAGCCAAGAACAGAAUACUUAGCCGAAAUUAACGCAAUGAAGUGCGCACACACCGCCCGUCAUCCCUGUAAAUUAUAAAAGACUAUUUAUAAACAAAUUAUAUAAACCCAAACAGGGCAAGUCGUAACAUGGUAAGCGUACUGGAAAGUGCGCU
rnacentral:rRNA from 1 species